UUCCUCCUUCCAAUCCCCUUCCCCACUUCAAUGAUCAAAGUGAUAUCACUGCUAUCAUCGUCACUUUUCUAACACUUCACAAUGUAAGAAGUACUUUCAAAUGUAAUAAUUCAUUAAAUAAAGCAAACUUUAGGAGAGAGAAUCUUGUUCAAUUUUUAUAGAAACACCAUGGCUCAAAAAGGCAACAUGACUUGAUGAAAGUCACUUAGUAUUCAAAAAAUAGAUAACAAAUCUGGCCCCUAGCUCUGGGCUAUUUUCUCCACACCAUUGCCCAGUGCUCACUGCAUUCAUUCCAGAUCUUUACCAUGGCAUUCAGGCACCCACAGAGUCUGUCCCAAAUAAACUUGCAUCUCUGUUUCUCUCAUAGAUCAAGUUCCUUCUGGGAAUCAGCAAGGCCACAAACAGAAAGAGAACAUGAGAACCAGGUCUGUGUUUUGCCUCUGGGAAAAGCAUACCAUGUGUUCAUCUUGUUUCCUCUUUUGUUUGGUGACCAGGGAGGCCAGCACAGCCCCAGAGGCAGCUCCAUCUUUUUUUUUUUUUUUUUGAGACAGAGUCUUGCUCUGUCACCCAGGCUGGAGUGCAGUGGCGCCAUCUCGACUCACUGCAAGCUCCACCUCCCAGGUUCACGCCAUUCUCCUGCCUCAGCCUCCUGAGUAGCUGGAACUACAGGCACCCACUACCAUGCCCGGCUAAUUUUUUUUUUUUUAAUUUUUAGUAGAGACAGGGUUUCACUGUGUUAGCUAGGAUGGUCUUGAUCUCCUGACUUCGUGAUCCGCCCGCCUAAGCCUCCCAAAGUGCUGGGAUUACAGGCGUGAGCCACCGCGCCUGGCCAAAUGCAGCUCCAUCUUAGUAACCAUGCAGGACUCCAGGCUUUGCUGCCUGAACUUCACUUUCCCUGUGCUUUGAUUUUUUGUUCUUUCAAUAUUAUAUUGGGACCAGAAGGGUUUCAGAGUUCUAUUUUUCCGUUCUUUUUUUUUUUGGAUUUUGGAAUAUUUGCAUAUACAUAAUGAGAUAUC
rnacentral:lncRNA from 1 species